rnacentral:rRNA from 1 species
GAUGAACGCUGGCGGCGUGCCUAAUACAUGCAAGUCGAACGAGGUGCUUUUGUAGCAAUACGAAAGUAUCCUAGUGGCGAACGGGUGAGUAACGCGUUGGUGACCUACCCCAAAGUGUGGGAUAACAGUUCGAAAGAACUGCUAAUACCGCAUGUGGCUAUCGGAUUUAGAAACUGAUAACUAAAGGAGCAAUUCGCUUUGGGAGGGACCUGCGUCCCAUCAGCUAGUUGGUGAGGUAAUGGCUCACCAAGGCUACGACGGGUAGGGGACCUGAGAGGGUGACCCCCCACAAUGGAACUGAAACACGGUCCAUACACCUACGGGUGGCAGCAGUAGGGAAUAUUGCACAAUGGGCGAAAGCCUGAUGCAGCAACGCCGCGCGUGCGAUGAAGGCCCUCGGGUCGUAAAGCACUUUUCUGAGAGAUGAGCAAGGACAGUAUCUCAGGAAUAAGUCUCGGCUAACUACGUGCCAGCAGCCGCGGUAAAGUCUGUACU